CUAACACAUGCAAGUCGAACGGCAGCACAGGAGAGCUUGCUCUCUGGGUGGCGAGUGGCGGACGGGUGAGGAAUACAUCGGAAUCUACUCUGUCGUGGGGGAUAACGUAGGGAAACUUACGCUAAUACCGCAUACGACCUACGGGUGAAAGCAGGGGAUCUUCGGACCUUGAGCGAUUGAAUGAGCCGAUGUCGGAUUAGCUAGUUGGCGGGGUAAAGGCCCACCAAGGCGACGAUCCGUAGCUGGUCUGAGAGGAUGAUCAGCCACACUGGAACUGAGACACGGUCCAGACUCCUACGGGAGGCAGCAGUGGGGAAUAUUGGACAAUGGGCGCAAGCCUGAUCCAGCCAUACCGCGUGGGUGAAGAAGGCCUUCGGGUUGUAAAGCCCUUUUGUUGGGAAAGAAAUCCAGCUGGCUAAUACCCGGUUGGGAUGACGGUACCCAAAGAAUAAGCACCGGCUAACUUCGUGCCAGCAGCCGCGGUAAUACGAAGGGUGCAAGCGUUACUCGGAAUUACUGGGCGUAAAGCGUGCGUAGGUGGUCGUUUAAGUCCGUUGUGAAAGCCCUGGGCUCAACCUGGGAACUGCAGUGGAUACUGGGCGACUAGAGUGUGGUAGAGGGUAGCGGAAUUCCUGGUGUAGCAGUGAAAUGCG
rnacentral:rRNA from 1 species